AUCCAGCUGACGAGUCCCAAAUAGGACGAAACACGCUUCCUGGAU
rfam:Schistosoma haematobium scaffold413_25, whole genome shotgun sequence.